rnacentral:rRNA from 1 species
CCUACGGGAGGCAGCAGUAGGGAAUCUUGCGCAAUGGGCGAAAGCCUGACGCAGCAACGCCGUGUGGGUGACGAAGGCCUUCGGGUCGUAAAGCCCUGUCGGAAGGAACGAAUGUCCCUGGGGUGAACAAUCCCAGAGAGUGACGGUACCUUCAAAGGAAGCACCGGCUAACUCCGUGCCAGCAGCCGCGGUAAU